GAUGAACGCUGGCGGCGUGCUUAACACAUGCAAGUCGAACGAAGCACUUGGAUCUCUUCGGAUGAAGAUCUUGGUGACCGAGUGGCGGACGGGUGAGUAACGCGUGGGUAACCUGCCUCAUACAGGGGGCUAACAGUUAGAAAUGACUGCUAAUACCGCAUAAGACCACAGCACCGCAUGGUGCAGGGGUAAAAACUCCGGUGGUAUGAGAUGGACCCGCGUCUGAUUAGGUGGUUGGUGGGGUAACGGCCUACCAAGCCGACGAUCAGUAGCCGACCUGAGAGGGUGACCGGCCACAUUGGGACUGAGACACGGCCCAAACUCCUACGGGAGGCAGCAGUGGGGAAUAUUGCACAAUGGGGGAAACCCUGAUGCAGCGACGCCGCGUGAGCGAUGAAGUAUUUCGGUAUGUAAAGCUCUAUCAGCAGGGAAGAAAAUGACGGUACCUGACUAAGAAGCACCGGCUAAAUACGUGCCAGCAGCCGCAGUAACAC
rnacentral:rRNA from 1 species